GACGAACGCUGGCGGCGUGCUUAACACAUGCAAGUCGAACGGAAAGGCCCUGCUUUUGUGGGGUGCUCGAGUGGCGAACGGGUGAGUAACACGUGAGUAACCUGCCCUUGACUUUGGGAUAACUUCAGGAAACUGGGGCUAAUACCGGAUAGGAGCUCCUGCUGCAUGGUGGGGGUUGGAAAGUUUCGGCGGUUGGGGAUGGACUCGCGGCUUAUCAGCUUGUUGGUGGGGUAGUGGCUUACCAAGGCUUUGAGGGGUAGCCGGCCUGAGAGGGUGACCGGCCACAUUGGGACUGAGAUACGGCCCAGCCUCCUACGGGAGGCAGCAGUGGGGAAUAUUGCACAAUGGGCGGAAGCCUGAUGCAGCAACGCCGCGUGCGGGAUGACGGCCUUCGGGUUGUAAACCGCUUUCGCCUGUGACGAAGCGUGAGUGACGGUAAUGGGUAAAGAAGCACCGGCUAACUACGUG
rnacentral:rRNA from 1 species